CCUACGGGUGGCAGCAGUGAGGAAUAUUGGUCAAUGGCCGAGAGGCUGAACCAGCCAAGUCGCGUGAGGGAAGACGGCCCUACGGGUUGUAAACCUCUUUUGUCGGGGAGCAAAGAGAGUCACGUGUGACUCAUUGAGAGUACCCGAAGAAAAAGCAUCGGCUAACUCCGUGCCAGCAGCCGCGGUAAUACGGAGGAUGCGAGCGUUAUCCGGAUUUAUUGGGUUUAAAGGGUGCGUAGGUGGUUUGACAAGUUAGUAGCGCAACUCCGGAGCUCAACUUCGGAACUACUACUAAAACUGUUGGACUUGAGUGCAGGAGGGGCAAUCGGAAUUCCUAGUGUAGCGGUGGAAUGCGUAGAUAUUAGGAGGAACACCAGUGGCGAAGGCGGAUUGCUAGACUGUAACUGACACUGAGGCACGAAAGCGUGGGGAGCAAACAGGAUUAGAUACCCUUGUAGUC
rnacentral:rRNA from 1 species